GAUGAACGCGUGGCGGCGUGCCUAACACAUGCAAGUCGAACGAAGCGCUUUGAUUUCCUCGGAAUGAUGAGUGACUGAGUGGCGGACGGGUGAGUAACGCGUGGGUAACCUGCCUCAUACAGGGGGAUAACAGUUAGAAAUGACUGCUAAUACCGCAUAAGACCACGGAACCGCAUGGUUCUGUGGGAAAAACUCCGGUGGUAUGAGAUGGACCCGCGUCUGAUUAGCUAGUUGGUGGGGUAACGGCCUACCAAGGCGACGAUCAGUAGCCGACCUGAGAGGGUGACCGGCCACAAGGGGACUGAGACACGGCCCUC
rnacentral:rRNA from 1 species